rnacentral:rRNA from 1 species
UGUAACGUGGGGGCAGCAGGAGCGUGAAGAGGAGGGGGGCAAGGUUUAUUCUGAGUUACUGGGCGGAAAGCGCGCGUAGGUUGAUGAGGAAGUUGUGAGUGAAAUCCCCGGGCUCAACCGGGUAACUGCGAGUGAAGCUGGGCGACUAGAGUGUGGUAGAGGGUAGCGGAAGUCCUGGUGUAGCAGUGAAAUGCGUAGAUAUCAGGAGGAACAUCCAUGGCGAAGGCAGCUACCUGGGCCAACACUGACACUGAGGCACGAAAGCGUGGGGAGCAAACAGGAUUAGAUACCCGAGUAGUC